rnacentral:tRNA from 1 species
UGACGUGUAGCUUAACCGGCAAAGCACCGAGCUUUUAACUCGGGUGAUGAGAGUUCGACCCUCUCUGCGUCAA